rnacentral:misc_RNA from 1 species
AAAAUGCGAUAACUAAUGUGAAUUGCAGAAUUAAAACGUGAAUCAUCGAGUCUCUGAACGCAAAUUGCGCUCCGCGGUCAUUCCGCGGAGCAUACCUGUUUGAGCCUCAUUUUCUUUCUAUCUUUCGCAAGAGAGAUGAAGUGCACUCCCUUCUCCCACAAGGAGAUAGUGUUAAAGGCAGUCUUUCUAAUUCUUUUUUUUCUGGGGAAAAAAAGAGCAGUGUGCCAAUACCACCUGCGCUUUUUUCUAAGAUCAAAAUAUUCUUUGAGCUCAAAUCAGGCAGGACUACCCGCUGAACUUAA